rnacentral:rRNA from 1 species
GACGAACGCUGGCGGCGUGCCUAACACAUGCAAGUUGAGCGAUGAAGAUUGGUGCUUGCACCAAUUUGAAGAGCAGCGAACGGGUGAGUAACGCGUGGGGAAUCUGCCUUUGAGCGGGGGACAACAUUUGGAAACGAAUGCUAAUACCGCAUAACAACUUUAAACAUAAGUUUUAAGUUUGAAAGAUGCAAUUGCAUCACUCAAAGAUGAUCCCGCGUUGUAUUAGCUAGUUGGUGAGGUAAAGGCUCACCAAGGCGAUGAUACAUAGCCGACCUGAGAGGGUGAUCGGCCACAUUGGGACUGAGACACGGCCCAAACUCCUACGGGAGGCAGCAGCAGGGAAUCUUCGGCAAUGGACGAAAGUCUGACCGAGCAACGCCGCGUGAGUGAAGAAGGGUUUCGGAUCGUAAAACUCUGUUGGUAGAGAAGAACGUUGGUGAGAGUGGAAAGCUCAUCAAGUGACGGUAACUACCCAGAAAGGGACGGCUAACUACGUG